GAGAUGUUAGUAAAAUAAUUACAUAACUUUGUCAAAGUUAAUUCAUAGGUUAGACUCCUAUAUAUCUCU
rnacentral:tRNA from 1 species